rnacentral:rRNA from 1 species
UACGUAGGGGGCGAGCGUUGUCCGGAAUUAUUGGGCGUAAAGAGCUCGUAGGCGGUCCGUUAAGUCAGAUGUGAAAUCUCAGGGCUUAACCCUGAAAUUGCAUCUGAUACUGGCGGACUUGAGGCAGGUAGGGGAAGGUGGAAUUCCUGGUGUAGCGGUGAAAUGCGCAGAUAUCAGGAGGAACACCGGUGGCGAAGGCGGCCUUCUGGGCCUGUUCUGACGCUGAGGAGCGAAAGCGUGGGGAGCGAACAGG